rnacentral:misc_RNA from 1 species
UCUCAAGCAUUUGAUGCUGAAAAGCUGGACAUAAAGAAAUUAACUUCUGUAGGUGCUACAGUUGUGAGGAAUGAUAGCCUUAUUCUUAGAAUUGGUAGCCAUUAAUUCCCAUGGGAUGAAGCUGGUCCUGUUAUUGUAGGAAUAGUUACAUUUGGCAGUGAAAUCAUAUGUGAACCAGCAUUAUCCAUGUUGACCGAGUUGAGAAAUCUCUUGUAGGAGAUCCAUCAAAAGCCAUUGUUACGACUGGUGGAAGCUGGAGACUU